ACGAGGAGCUUGCUCCUCUGAGAUCAGCGGCGGACGGGUGAGUAACACGUGGGCAACCUGCCUGUAAGACUGGGAUAACUCCGGGAAACCGGGGCUAAUACCGGAUAACAUUUUCCACCUCAUGGUGAAAAAUUAAAAGAUGGCUUCGGCUAUCACUUACAGAUGGGCCCGCGGCGCAUUAGCUAGUUGGUGAGGUAAGGGCUCACCAAGGCGACGAUGCGUAGCCGACCUGAGAGGGUGAUCGGCCACACUGGGACUGAGACACGGCCCAGACUCCUACGGGAGGCAGCAGUAGGGAAUCUUCGGCAAUGGACGAAAGUCUGACCGAGCAACGCCGCGUGAGCGAUGAAGGCCUUCGGGUCGUAAAGCUCUGUUGUUAGGGAAGAACAAGUACCGUUCGAACAGGGCGGUACCUUGACGGUACCUAACCAGAAAGCCACGGCUAACUACGUGCCAGCAGCCGCGGUAAUACGUAGGUGGCAAGCGUUGUCCGGAAUUAUUGGGCGUAAAGCGCGCGCAGGCGGUCUCUUAAGUCUGAUGUGAAAGACCACGGCUCAACCGUGGAGGGUCAUUGGAAACUGGGGGACUUGAGUACUGGAGAGGAGAGUGGAAUUCCAUGUGUAGCGGUGAAAUGCGUAGAUAUAUGGAGGAACACCAGUGGCGAAGGCGGCUCUCUGGCCAGUAACUGACGCUGAGGCGCGAAAGCGUGGGGAGCAAACAGGAUUAGAUACCCUGGUAGUCCACGCCGUAAACGAUGAGUGCUAGGUGUUGGGGGGGUUCCACCCUCAGUGCUGACGUUAACACAUUAAGCACUCCGCCUGGGGGAGUACGGCCGCAAGGCUGAAACUCAAAGGAAUUGACGGGGGCCCGCACAAGCAGUGGAAGCAUGUGGGUUUAAUUCGAAGCAACGCGAAGAACCUUACCAGGUCUUGACAUCCUUCGCUACUUCUAGAAGAUAGAAGGUUCCCCUUCGGGGGGACGAAGUGACAGGUGGUGGCA
rnacentral:rRNA from 1 species